rnacentral:lncRNA from 1 species
AACUAUAUUAUUAUAUUUGGUCUAUGCUAAAUUUUAGCUUAAUCUUUAUACUGGAUCAACUAAAACGACUUGUUAGCUUAUUAUAGAGAGUAGUGUUAACGUGGUGUAUUCAUGUGGACAUGGAUAGAGAGUAGAGUGUUAACCUUGAUCAAAUAUAUACCGUGAUCUAUAAUCAACUAAAGCUCCAGCAAGACUACGAUAGAGUAGGAUCCUUCAUUGGAGGACUCGCAUCAGCCGCAAGCUUGGGCUUCGUGUCAACAGGAGUCAAGCAGGGGUUGCAUGCGGUCAUAUUGGCACGAUGAAGGAGAUUAUAAGAGUCCAGUAGAUAUCCUUCUGUUCAUUGGUUAUUGUUGAAAACAACUUGACAUGAUCGUUUGCAAGUUUUGCACGAUCGUAUGAUUUCUCAUCCCGGAUUAGAUGAUUUGAUUUCUUAUACUUUCCAAUAUCAUCAGGGACUGGCAUCUCUCCUUUAUAGUCGGAUAAUGAAUGACCGUUUCUGCUUUUGA